rnacentral:rRNA from 1 species
GACGAACGCUGGCGGCGUGCUUAACACAUGCAAGUCGAACGCUGAAGACCUGGCUUUUGUUGGGUUGGAUGAGUGGCGAACGGGUGAGUAACACGUGAGUAACCUGCCCUCUUCUUUGGGAUAACGCCCGGAAACGGGUGCUAAUACUGGAUAUUCACUGAUCUUCGCAUGGGGGUUGGUGGAAAGGUUUGUUCUGGUGGGGGAUGGGCUCGCGGCCUAUCAGCUUGUUGGUGGGGUGAUGGCCUACCAAGGCUUUGACGGGUAGCCGGCCUGAGAGGGUGACCGGUCACAUUGGGACUGAGAUACGGCCCAGACUCCUACGGGAGGCAGCAGUGGGGAAUAGUGCACAAUGGGCGAAAGCCUGAUGCAGCGACGCCGCGUGAGGGAUGGAGGCCUUCGGGUUGUAAACCUCUUUCGCUCAUGGUCAAGCCGCAACUGUGGGUUGUGGUGAGGGUAGUGGGUAAAGAAGCGCCGGCUAACUACGUG